GGGAAAAAGUAGAUUCAAAGAUUUAGAUUUAUAUGGUUAAAAUAGAACUUCCAGUGGGGGUAAUCACCCAAAGAACUUUUUCAUGUAUGCACAGGCACACACAAAAAGUUUUGUUGGUUCAUUUCCAACAGUGGGUGGUUGUUGAUGUUUUCUUGGAGCUUUGGUUGUAGAUUACAUUUAAUUUGCAAAUUAAUCUAAAAAGCUCCAACUGGUAUGAGCAAACAAAAAAUAAACAUUGUUUUUUAUGUAUAAUGUUGUAACCAUGGUGGGUUCUGCUUGUAGUGGAAGUUGUAAUAAAAGCCUUACUCAUUUAAAAUUGUAUUUAUGAGAUCACAAAAUUGAAUUGUUGGUUUUUAUAUUACACUAAGGCAGCCAACAUUAGGGAUGAUAACAACAGUAUCCUGGGUUUAGAAGGGAUAUCUCUAAGUGAGAUAAUACUUUUUUAUUUUUCUUUAUUAGCAGAUGUAAUCAGCCUAAGCUAGUGACACGUUGGAUAACAGUUAUGGAGGAUCUGAUAACCAGCAAAAAUUAAGACCGGAUUUCUUAGGGUAGCCAUCAAAAUGCCAUGCAGUACUACCAACAGCUCUGUAAUUCAGACAAACAGGUGAGACCAACCAAAAUGUAGCAGACCUGUGGACAUUCUUGAACAUGUGGCAGUGGAAAAUCAUGUGUUUUACAAAAGCUGCUUUGUUUGCACAAUGUGCAACUCUCAGAUAAACCACUUGAACUACUGCUUUGUUCCCAACCACGACAAAUUCGACUGCAUUGAACACUAUCAGGAUUAAUUGAGAAUGCCAGUAUUGGGUUUGGAGAAGAGUCAUUUGGCAUGCAAUGGCUAUAGGACCAGGAGUACAACAACAGUUUAAAUUUACACUAGAAGUCACUACAUGUUUUGGAGCACCUUUUGAAGAGUGAUAUUCCUUGUGAGGCCUCAAGAAUGACUCGAUUUUGCACAAAUUUGGAAGGAAUUACAAAAUCAGAAAAUGGUAUUUUAUCCAAGGCUACAAAGAUCCUGUAUUUACUGAAUCCAAAAAGAGAAAAAGAGGG